rnacentral:lncRNA from 1 species
UACUGAUUCAAAAUUUAUUAUGAAAUGGAAUAUAUUUUCAAAGUUGCAAUAUCUGAAUGUAUCUAAAGUCAGAUAUAUAAGGAGAAAGUAUUAGUUUAUUCCAAAAACAAGUGUUUUGUGUGAAUUUCAAUCUGGUUAAAACCGCUCUGUUCUUUAAUUUGGAUAGGAUUUACAAUUUACAAUGAGAAAAACUUAUAUUGGAGAGAAUUUGAAGAUGUGUUAAUUUAAUUUCAAUCUUGUGAUUUUGAAAGAAAUUUACAACCAAAAUACAGUGUCUUAUUUUCAAACUUGCAAUUUGGAAAGGAUUUUU